rnacentral:misc_RNA from 1 species
CAGAUGUCAUCCUCAACCAUAAGAAAGAUGAAGAAAUGAAGAAGGGUCAUGAACAAAGUUAAAUAUAUAGAUAAACAUCAUCAAUUGCCUGGCACGCAGAGCAUAAAGAAACAUGUAGCCAAGGACAACUUGCCAACUUGGUCUUUUGCUUCUUGCAUAGGCCACUGGUCGGCAAGUCAUCCUUGGCUGCAUACUACUUUGCACAUCUACAUGCAAACCCCAUAGAUGAAAACCACAUAUGCACCGAAGCUGCUCAGGCUAAAUGUUAUAGCUAGCUACAGACAUAUAAGAAAGAAAU